AGCAGUCGCCACGGUAAUACGAAGGGUGCAAGCGCUAAUCGGAAUUACUGGGCGUAAAGCGUGCGUAGGCGGUUUGUUAAGUCUGUUGUGAAAUCCCCGGGCUCAACCUGGGAAUGGCAAUGGAUACUGGCAAGCUAGAGUGUGUAAGAGGAUGGUGGAAUUCCCGGUGUAGCGGUGAAAUGCGUAGAGAUCGGGAGGAACAUCAGUGGCGAAGGCGGCCAUCUGGGACAACACUGACGCUGAGGCACGAAAGCGUGGGGAGCAAACAGGAUUAGAUACCCCAGUAGUCCCUGUCUCUUAUAC
rnacentral:rRNA from 1 species